AGGCAGCAGUGGGGAAUAUUGCACAAUGGGGGGAAACCCUGAUGCAGCGACGCCGCGUGGGUGAAGAAGUACUUCGGUACGUAAAGCCCUAUCAGCAGGGAAGAAAAUGACGGUACCUGAUUAAGAAGCCCCGGCUAACUACGUGCC
rnacentral:rRNA from 1 species